rnacentral:lncRNA from 1 species
GUUGACCGGUGGGCCCUUAAGGCCGUGGGGGAAGUUGCUUGCUUGGCCCCAGAGGAGGUUGACCAGACUGACUAUGCAAGAGGAGUUGGAAAGUGAAGGGGAGGAGACUGGAUAACCGAUUGUGGGCAGUUUGUGUGCAUUUAGGCCCCGCUCCCCCAGUUUUCCUUUAAGUUUCCACAUACAGCAUUGGAUCUAGAGUUUCACUGGUUGCCCAGGCUGGAG